GGUUGUUUUAAAUGUCGUCUGUGGGGAAAGCUUCAGGUAAGCAAAUCUAGUCAUUCCUAUUUCUCAUUUACCCUUUGCAUGAAUAAUUUUCUAAUUUUUCUUUUUUUAUUUCUGUUAUAGACUCAGGGUUUGGGCACUGCUCUGAAGAUCUUGUUUUCUGAGAAAUUGAUAGCAAAUAUGCCAGAAAGUGGACCUAGUUAUGAAUUCCAUCUAACCAGACAAGAAAUAGUAUCAUUAUUCAACGCAUUUGGAAGAAUUUCUACAAGUGUGAAAGAAUUAGAAAACUUCAGGAACUUGUUACAGAAUAUUCAUUAAAGAAAACAAGCUGAUAUGUGCCUGUUCUGGACAAUGGAGGCCAAAGAGUGGAAUUUCAUUCAAAGGCAUAAUAGCAAUGACAGUCUUAAGCCAAACAUUUUAUAUAAAAUUGCUUUUGUAAAGGAGAAUUAUAUUGUUUUAAGUAAACACAUUUUUAAAAAAUUGUGUUGUCUAUGUAUAAUACUACUGUGAGUAAAAGUAAUACUUUAAUAAUGUGGUACAAAUUUUAAAGUUAAAUAUUGAAUAAAAGGAGGAUUAUCAAAUUCAUAUAUGAUAAAAGUGAAUGUUCUAAGUCUCUCAAACUAGCAUUUUGUGUAAUAAUAUGUAAUAUAAAUAAAACUAUGGUAAAUGU
rnacentral:sRNA from 1 species